rnacentral:RNase_P_RNA from 1 species
CGAGCCGGCCGGGCGGCCGCGUCAGGGCCUUGUGGCCCUGCCGAGGAAGGUCCGGGCUCCACAGGGCAGGGUGGUCGGUAACGCCGACCCGGGGUGACCCGCGGGACAGUGCCACAGAGAGCAGACCGCCCCCCUUCCCGGGGGGUAAGGGUGAAAGGGUGGUGUAAGAGACCACCAGCGCCCACGGUGACGUGGGCGGCUCGGUAAACCCCACCCGGAGCAAGGUCAAGAAGGGACGCUCCCUGGAGCGUCCCGCGCGCGACGUUCGAGGGCUGCCCGCCCGAGCCGCGCGGGUAGACCGCUUGAGGCCGCCGGCAACGGCGGUCCUAGAUGGAUGGCCGCCGAUCAGCCCACAGGCUGAUCACAGAACCCGGCCUACAGGCCGACUCGUCCA